UGUUGAUUUUGUGUCUUAGCAAGGUAGUAGCCUAUACGUUUGUGAUGUAGUAGAGGUCGUGAGAGGAUGAAUGUGGCAUUUUGUUAAAUUUAUAGGCAACACAGUUAAAUGUAGCCAGUCCAGUUGACCAAUAACAUGGUUGUUUGAAUUUGAAAUGGAGUGGGCGGAUCUGUGCAGCUUUCGAGCAAAACGUGGUGUGAGCAAACAUUAACGUUAUUUUAUACAGUCUAUGCUUGUAACUUUAUUUGCAAGACAGAUGGACUAUAGAGACCAGAAAAUGCAUACGUUUACGGUCCGUAUAAGCUUACAGGUUUGUCCAAAUUAAAGAUACCAUAAAUUCUAGUCAUGCCAGAGACGUUGGUCCUACAGAGCUAGAAGGACUUGUCAUAUGAGAUAACAAGGGCUGAAGCCAGUUGGAUCUAAAGUGUCAAGUUAUUCGUUAUCAGGUGUUCCUGGACAGUUUUGAAACCGAGAUGUCUGAACGCCUCAAAUAAUCAGCAGUAAAGACAACAGAGACAAAUUCUCUAAUACCAAGGUCAAUGCAUUUGACUGCUGUCCAGCCCCGGGUUGCCACCGAAAACUUUAUGCAUCUUGGACUGGAAGAUGGUGUGCUAGUAAGGAAGCUAGCUACCACAGCCUUUGCCACCACAUCUCAGUGUUGGGAGGGAAGUUCACUCACUGCACAACUCUACCAGCUGUACCUUUCCUCCUCAGCCAUGAUCCGUAACCACCAUGGUUUUCUUUCUGGGCCAGAAGACUUUGCAAACAAAUAAGCAAUAAAUGAUCAUGCAUUACAAA